rnacentral:tRNA from 2 species
CGGGAUGUAGCGCAGCCUGGUAGCGCACUUGCUUCGGGAGUAAGGGGUCGGAGGUUCAAAUCCUCUCAUCCCGACCA